AUGGCCAUUCCCCACCUGAGCAGCGCAGGAGUGCUUUGGUCAGCAGUAAUCCUUUUUGAAAAAGGAACAUGGCUCACUGUUCUAAAGAAGAAUGAUGAAAUCAUACCUCCAGCUGUGGCCGUUUUUUCCCCAUCAAAACUAGAGAUCCAACAGAAGAACAAGGCCUCGCUGGUAUGCCUGGCCUCUGGUUUCUACCCUGACCACGUGAAUCUCAUCUGGAAGGUGAAUGGUGCUAAGAGGACAGAAGGCGUGGGGACAGUCGAGUUUUCCACAUGGAAUGGGAGUACCUACUCAUUGACCAGACAACUAAGGAUCUCAGACCAGGAAUGGUUCAACCCUUUGAACUGUUUUGGGUGUGUUGCCAAUUUUUAAGAAUGGAUUGUUGGAAUCGAUACACAAUUUCAUCUAUGGUGACACUGAUUGUAGUAUCUUCAAAGAAAGCUUUCAGAGAAGUGCUACACCUGGGACGUUUGUGUACAUCACGCUCAUUUUCAAGAGCAUGGGAUGUUUAUGAUGGGGUUGAUGCUUAGGUCCAAGGAAAGGAACAGAGUUCUAGUCCACACACAUUUGUCCUAA